CACGGCACGGUCAGAAUGGGACCAAGAGCAGAAGAUUCCACUUUGGUGAAACUUCCUGGUUCCAUCUAGAAGCUUGAUUGUUUAUCGUUGGGAGGUGGGGCCACUUUCAACAUAAGAUCAAAGCCCCACUUCCAAGGGGCUUUGAUCAUAAAGCAGCUUUAUGCUUGUACUGCUGCUGCCUCAUAUCAACUAUUACAGCUUUACUGGUCCAAACGUUUGAAAGUUGAACAACCUCGUUCCAAGAACAUAAAGAUCCGUCCACCUCAAGACUCUCACCAACUGAUCCGGUAUCCCAGGUUCCUCCAGCCGAGAUCAAGAUGAACAGAACUCUCUUCUACCUGCUCGCAGUCGGACUCUGCUGCGCCAUCGGGUGGUUUUGAUCCGAGCAGCCCCCCAGGUCCAGUCCCAGUUUAGGGCGAGGCCGUCCGGGUCCUCGCAGACGUUCCUAAAAAGCUCAGUCGUGUCUCAACCUGCCAGCUGCUCCAGGAAUUCCUCAGCCUGGAACAUAAAGUGGGUCCGGACACACAGCCCCCGAACUAUUGUCCCGUUUCCUCUGUUAUGUGACCGAGGCGGCUCUGGUUCGGCCCACGCCCUUCUGACCGAUAUCCAGGAUGUCGUUGAUGACAAAUGUGACUUCGACAGAGGAAAAGUCUUUCAGGCUUCUUGUUUUUGAGGUUUUUCCAGACGAUAAUUACACGCUGAAGUACACAAAGAACAGGAAUCUUGUUGGGAUCUGACUAGAUCACACAGGUGAUCUAGUCACCAACCUCCGCAGGGACAAAGCCUGACAAGCCAAUUCUUAUUGGGGAUUUUUAAUUAAUAAUUGCUAAAUUCUCUAACAUUCUUUCAAUCUCCCUUUUUCAUAAGAAAAAAAAAGGAUAGCAGGAAGUUUUCCAGGGAACUUGUCUGAUGAGAUUAAUAUUAGCAAUGAUUUUGAUUACGCUACGUUGCGUAAUUGAGUUGAGGCCUUUUGUAACCUGUGAAACGUGUCAGUAAAUGUCUUUAGUUUAGAUAAAAG
rnacentral:lncRNA from 1 species